rnacentral:rRNA from 1 species
AUGCACCUCUUCUUCAUCCUCCCUUCCACCGGGUUUCUCGGCUGGCAGCUGCGCGCCAUGAACUCCACUCUCUUCAUCAUCGGCGUCAUAGGGAACAUUAUCUCGGUUCUGGUCUUCGUUUCUCCCAUCCCGACAUUCUGGAGGAUCGUGAGGAGCAGGUCAACGGAGGACUUCGAGGCGGCGCCGUACGUCCUCACGUUGCUCAACACGCUGCUAUGGCUCUACUACGGCCUCACCAAGCCUGACGGCCUGCUCAUCGCCACUGUCAAUGGCUUCGGCGCUGUCAUGGAGACCAUCUAUAUCGUCCUCUUCCUCGUCUACGCCGCCGAUCAUGCGAAAAGGGUUAAAACCGCAAAGUUGGUGGCAGCUUUGGACAUCGGGUUUUUUGGGGCCGUGUUCGCGGCCACAACAUUCUUCAUUGGUGGGCUUGACAUGAAAAUCGUGGUCAUUGGAUUGAUAUGUGCUUGCCUUAGCGUGUUCAUGUAUGGGUCCCCACUCGCCGCCGUGAGAAGGGUGAUCGCCUCGAGGAGCGUGGAGUACAUGCCCUUCUUCCUCUCCUUCUUCCUCUUCCUCAACGGAGGCGUCUGGGCCACGUAUGCCAUACUCGACAGAGAUGUCUUCCUCGGGGUCCCAAAUGGGAUAGGCUGCUUCUUGGGAGGCAUCCAGCUGGUUAUCUACGCGGUAUACAGGAACAGUAAGGUCGGCUGUCAGUCUCAGGGCACUCAUGAAGCAUCAUAUGAUGCUUCGACAUCUCUUCUGUCCUCCUAUGCCGGCAGACAUGGCCAAAACGAUGUAUCCACUCACGUUUAG